rnacentral:rRNA from 1 species
UACGUAGGGCGCAAGCGUUGUCCGGAAUUAUUGGGCGUAAAGAGCUCGUAGGCGGUGUGUCACGUCGGCCGUGAAAACCUGCAGCUUAACUGUGGGCGUGCGGUCGAUACGGGCAUCACUGGAGUUCGGCAGGGGAGACUGGAAUUCCUGGUGUAGCGGUGAAAUGCGCAGAUAUCAGGAGGAACACCCGUGGCUAAGGCGGCUCUCUAGUACGGUACUGACGCUGAGACGCGAAAGCGUGGGGAGCGAACAGG